CUACGGGGUGCUGCAGUCGAGAAUCUUUCGCAAUGGGGGAAACCCUGACGAAGCGACGCCGCGUGUACGAUGAAGGUUUUCGGAUUGUAAAGUACUGUCACAAGGGACGAAAAACUUAUUGGUGAAUAAUCAGUAAGCUUGACGGUACCUUGAGAGGAAGCACCGGCUAACUCCGUGCCAGCAGCCGCGGUAAUACGGAGGGUGCAAGCGUUGUUCGGAUUUACUGGGUGUAAAGAGUACGUAGGCGGUUUGAAAAGUUAUAUGUGAAAUCUCUGGGCUUAACCCAGAAACUGCAUUUAAAACUCUCAAACUAGAGUAUGAUAGGGGAAGAUGGAAUUCUCGGUGUAAGGGUGAAAUCUGCAGAUAUCGAGAGGAACACCAGUAGCGAAGGCGAUCUUCUGGGUCAAUACUGACGCUGAGGUACGAAAGCUAGGGGAGCGAACGGGAUUAGAUACCCCGGUAGUC
rnacentral:rRNA from 1 species